GUGUCAGCAGCCGCGGUAAAACGUAGGGGGCGAGCGUUGUCCGGAAUUACUGGGCGUAAAGGGCGCGUAGGCGGUUAUUUAAGUCAGAGGUGAAAACUACCGGCUCAACCGGUAGCCUGCCUUUGAAACUGGAUGACUUGAGGGCAGGAGAGGGGAGUGGAAUUCCCAGUGUAGCGGUGAAAUGCGUAGAUAUUGGGAGGAACACCAGUGGCGAAGGCGGCUCUCUGGCCUGUUUCUGACGCUGAGGCGCGAAAGCGUGGGGAGCAAACGGGAUUAGAAACCCCUGUAGUCC
rnacentral:rRNA from 1 species